GGGCCUGUAGCUCAGCUGGGAGAGCGCUACAAUCGCACUGUAGAGGUCGCGAGUUCGAGUCUCGCCAGGUCCA
rnacentral:tRNA from 1 species